rnacentral:rRNA from 1 species
CCUACGGGUGGCAGCAGUGGGGAAUAUUGGGCAAUGGGCGCAAGCCUGACCCAGCAACGCCGCGUGAAGGAAGAAGGCUUUCGGGUUGUAAACUUCUUUUGUCAGGGAAGAGUAGAAGACGGUACCUGACGAAUAAGCCACGGCUAACUACGUGCCAGCAGCCGCGGUAAUACGUAGGUGGCAAGCGUUGUCCGGAUUUACUGGGUGUAAAGGGCGUGUAGCCGGGUUGACAAGUCAGAUGUGAAAUCCGGCGGCUUAACCGCAGAACUGCAUUUGAAACUGUUGAUCUUGAGUACUGGAGAGGCAGAUGGAAUUCCUAGUGUAGCGGUGAAAUGCGUAGAUAUUAGGAGGAACACCAGUGGCGAAGGCGGUCUGCUGGACAGCAACUGACGGUGAGGCGCGAAAGCGUGGGGAGCAAACAGGAUUAGAUACCCCAGUAGUC